GACGAACGCUGGCGGCGUGCUUAACACAUGCAAGUCGAACGGAAAGGCCCUGCUUUUGUGGGGUGCUCGAGUGGCGAACGGGUGAGUAACACGUGAGUAACCUGCCCUUGUCUUUGGGAUAACUUCAGGAAACUGGGGCUAAUACCGGAUAGGAGCUCCUGCUGCAUGGUGGGGGUUGGAAAGUUUCGGCGGUUGGGGAUGGACUCGCGGCUUAUCAGCUUGUUGGUGGGGUAGUGGUUUACCAAGGGUUUGACGGAUAGCACGCCUUGGAGGGUGACCGGGCACAUUGGGACUAAGAGACGGCCCAGACGCCUACGGGAGGCAGCAGUGGGGAAUAUUGCACAAUGGGCGGGAGCCUGAUGCAGCAACGCUGCGUUCGGGAUGACGGCCUUCGGGUUGUAAACCGCUUUCGCCUGUGACGAAGCGUGAGUGACGGUAAUGGGUAAAGAAGCACCGGCUAACUACGUG
rnacentral:rRNA from 1 species